CCUACGGGUGACAGCAGUGGGGAAUAUUGGACAAUGGGCGAAAGCCUGAUCCAGCCAUGCCGCGUGUGUGAAGAAGGCCUUCGGGUUGUAAAGCACUUUCAGUGGGGAAGAAAGCCUUGGGGCUAAUACCCUCGAGGAAGGACAUCACCCACAGAAGAAGCACCGGCUAACUCCGUGCCAGCAGCCGCGGUAAUACGGAGGGUGCGAGCGUUAAUCGGAAUUACUGGGCGUAAAGCGCGCGUAGGCGGUCUGAUAAGCCGGUUGUGAAAGCCCCGGGCUCAACCUGGGAACGGCAUCCGGACCUGUCAGGCUAGAGUGCAGGAGAGGAAGGUAGAAUUCCCGGUGUAGCGGUGAAAUGCGUAGAGAUCGGGAGGAAUACCAGUGGCGAAGGCGGCCUUCUGGACUGACACUGACGCUGAGGUGCGAAAGCGUGGGUAGCAAACAGGAUUAGAUACCCUUGUAGUC
rnacentral:rRNA from 1 species